GGCGAACGGCUGAGGAACACGUGGGUNACCUGCCCCAGAGUGGGGGAUACCCCGUCGAAAGACGGGAUAAUCCCGCAUACGCUCUACGGAGGAAAGCCCCUACGGGCGCUCUGGGAGGGGCCUGCGGCCCAUCAGGUUGUUGGUGUGGUAACGGCGCACCAAGCCACUGACGGGUACCCGGUCUGAGAGGACGGCCGGGCAGACUGGGACUGCGACACGGCCCAGACUCCUACGGGAGGCAGCAGCAAGGAAUUUUCCCCAAUGGGCGGAAGCCUGAGGGAGCAACGCCGCGUGGAGGACGACGGCCUUCGGGUUGUAAACUCCUUUCGGGUGGGACGACCGCGACGGUACCACCAGAAGCAGCCCCGGCUAACUCUGUGCCAGCAGCCGCGGUAAGACAGAGGGGGCAAGCGUUGUCCGGAGUUACUGGGCGUAAAGGGCGCGGAGGCGGUCUGCGGCGUCGGCGCUGAAAGCGCCCCGCUUAACGGGGCGAGGCGUGCCGAUACGCGCAGNCUUGAGGCGAGCAGAGGGUGGUGGAAUUCCGGGUGGAGCGGUGAAAUGCGUAGAGAUCCGGAGGAACGCCAGUGGGGAAGCCGGCCACCUGGGCUCGNCCUGACGCUGCGGCGCGACCGCGUGGGGAGCAAACCGGAUUAGAUACCCGGGUAGUCCACGCCGUAAAC
rnacentral:rRNA from 11 species